rnacentral:rRNA from 1 species
AUGCAAGUCGUACGAGGGCUUUUAGCCCUAGUGGCGGACGGGUGAGUAACACGUGAGAAUCUGCCCUUAGGAGGAGGAUAACAGCUGGAAACGGUUGCUAAUACUCCAUAUGCCGAGAGGUGAAAGGAAUUUCUGCCUAAGGAGGAGCUCGCGUCUGAUUAGCUAGUUGGUAGGGUAAAGGCCUACCAAGGCGACGAUCAGUAGCUGGUUUGAGAGGAUGAUCAGCCACACUGGGACUGAGACACGGCCCAGACUCCUACGGGAGGCAGCAGUAGGGAAUUUUCCGCAAUGGGCGAAAGCCUGACGGAGCAAUACCGCGUGAGGGAUGACGGCCUGUGGGUUGUAAACCUCUUUUCUCAAGGAAGAAGUUCUGACGGUACUUGAGGAAUAAGCAUCGGCUAACUCUGUGCCAGCAGCCGCGGUAAUACAGAGGAUGCAAGCGUUAUCCGGAAUCACUGGGCAUAAAGCGUCUGUAGGUGGUUUGGUAAGUCUGCUGUUAAAGACUGGGGCUCAACCCCAGAAAAGCAGUGGAAACUGCCAGACUUGAGUGUGGUAGAGGUAAAGGGAAUUCCUAGUGUAGCGGUGAAAUGCGUAGAUAUUAGGAAGAACACCAAUGGCGAAGGCACUUUACUGGGCCAUAACUGACACUGAGAGACGACAGCUAGGGGAGCAAAUGGGAUUAGAUACCCCAGUAGUCCUAGCCGUAAACUAUGGAUACUAGAUGUUGAACAGAUCGACCUGUGCA